GAGUUUGAUCCUGGCUCAGGACGAACGCUGGCGGCGUGCCUAAUACAUGCAAGUCGAGCGGACGGAUGGGAGCUUGCUCCCUGAAGUCAGCGGCGGACGGGUGAGUAACACGUGGGCAACCUGCCUGUAAGACUGGGAUAACUUCGGGAAACCGGAGCUAAUACCGGAUAAUGCACAGCCUCUCAUGAGGUUAUGCUGAAAGAUGGUUUCGGCUAUCACUUACAGAUGGGCCCGCGGCGCAUUAGCUAGUUGGUGAGGUAACGGCUCACCAAGGCAACGAUGCGUAGCCGACCUGAGAGGGUGAUCGGCCACACUGGGACUGAGACACGGCCCAGACUCCUACGGGAGGCAGCAGUAGGGAAUCUUCCGCAAUGGACGAAAGUCUGACGGAGCAACGCCGCGUGAGUGAUGAAGGUUUUCGGAUCGUAAAACUCUGUUGUCAGGGAAGAACAAGUGCCGGAGUAACUGCCGGCACCUUGACGGUACCUGACCAGAAAGCCACGGCUAACUACGUGCCAGCAGCCGCGGUAAUACGUAGGUGGCAAGCGUUGUCCGGAAUUAUUGGGCGUAAAGCGCGCGCAGGCGGUCUCUUAAGUCUGAUGUGAAAGCCCACGGCUCAACCGUGGAGGGUCAUUGGAAACUGGGGGACUUGAGUGCAGAAGAGGAAAGUGGAAUUCCACGUGUAGCGGUGAAAUGCGUAGAGAUGUGGAGGAACACCAGUGGCGAAGGCGACUUUCUGGUCUGUAACUGACGCUGAGGCGCGA
rnacentral:rRNA from 1 species